UACGUAGGGGGCAAGCGUUGUCCGGAUUUAUUGGGCGUAAAGGGCGCGCAGGCGGCCUCUUAAGUCAGUUGUGAAAGGUCUCGGCUCAACCGAGGAGUUGCAGCUGAAACUGGGAGGCUUGAGUGCAGGAGAGGAGAGUGGAAUUCUCGGUGUAGCGGUGGAAUGCGUAGAGAUCGGGAGGAACACCAGUGGCGAAGGCGACUCUCUGGCCUGUUACUGACGCUGAGGCGCGAAAGCGUGGGGAGCGAACAGGAUUAGAAACCCGCGUAGUCC
rnacentral:rRNA from 1 species